rnacentral:rRNA from 1 species
AACGAACGCUGGCGGCAUGCUUUACACAUGCAAGUCGAACGGCAGCACGGGGGCAACCCUGGUGGCGAGUGGCGAACGGGUGAGUAACACAUCGGAACGUGUCCAGUUGUGGGGGAUAACCCAUCGAAAGGUGGGCUAAUACCGCAUGAGCUGGCAACAGGAAAGCGGGGACCCGCAAGGGCCUUGUGCGAUUGGAGCGGCCGAUGUCCGAUUAGCUAGUUGGUGGGGUAAAGGCCACCAAGGCUUCGAUCGGUAGCUGGUCUGAGAGGAUGAUCAGCCACACUGGGACUGAGACACGGCCCAGACUCCUACGGGAGGCAGCAGUGGGGAAUUUUGGACAAUGGGGGCAACCCUGAUCCAGCCAUGCCGCGUGAGU